rnacentral:rRNA from 1 species
GACGAACGCUGGCGGCGUGCCUAAUACAUGCAAGUAGAACGCUGAAGGAGGAGCUUGCUUCUCUGGAUGAGUUGCGAACGGGUGAGUAACGCGUAGGUAACCUGCCUGGUAGCGGGGGAUAACUAUUGGAAACGAUAGCUAAUACCGCAUAAUAGCAGUUAUUGCAUGAUAACUGUUUGAAAGGUGCAAUUGCACCACUACCAGAUGGACCUGCGUUGUAUUAGCUAGUUGGUGGGGUAGCGGCUCACCAAGGCGACGAUACAUAGCCGACCUGAGAGGGUGAUCGGCCACACUGGGACUGAGACACGGCCCAGACUCCUACGGGAGGCAGCAGUAGGGAAUCUUCGGCAAUGGACGGAAGUCUGACCGAGCAACGCCGCGUGAGUGAAGAAGGUUGUCGGAUCGUAAAGCUCUGUUGUAAGAGAAGAACGAGUGUGAGAGUGGAAAGUUCACACUGUGACGGUAUCUUACCAGAAAGGGACGGCUAACUACGUG